rnacentral:rRNA from 1 species
CUGGUUGAUUCUGCCAGUAAUCAUAUGCUUGUCUCAAAGAUUAAGCCAUGCAUGUCUAAGUACAUGCCGAAAUAAGGCGAAACCGCGAAUGGCUCAUUAAAUCAGUUAUGGUUCCUUAGAUUGUUUCUUCCUACUCGGAUAACUGUGGCAAUUCUGGAGCUAAUACAUGCAGUGAGCCCUUGUGUCCUUUUUGGCCAGCGGGUGCUUUUAUUAGACCAAGAUCAAUCGGGCUUCGGUCCGUAUUGUGUGGUGACUCUGGAUAACUUUAUCCAAGUAGGAAGAAACAAUCUAGGCGACGUUUCUUUCAAGUGUCUGCCUUAUCAACUUUCGAUGGUAGGUUACUUGCUUACCAUGGUUGUUACGGGUAACGGAAAAUCAGGGUUCGAUUCCGGAGAGGGAGCCUGAGAA